UAAUCAGUAGAUGUGUGUACAAGUCAGAGAUAAAAAACAACGUGUUUGAUUGGAGUCAUGAAACUCUACAUGAUCAUCACCGUCUUCUACACAACCUUUGACUUCAUCCAGGUUUCAGGUUCCUCUCUCAGUGACAAAGUCCACCAGAAUCCAGCUGAGAUGUUCCUAAAAUCUGGACAAACCGCCGACAUCCACUGUUCACACAGUAUCGACAACUAUAAUGUAAUACUGUGGUACAAACAAUCAGACGGACGCCUGCAGCUCCUCGGAUACAUGCAGGAGAGUUUUGGAAAACCAGAAAUUGGAGUGAAAGUGAAGAUCACAGGAGAUGCAAAUAAAGGAAAAACCUGCACGUUAAAGAUUGAAGAAGUCAGCAGUGCAGUUUACUUCUGUGCUGCUAGUCUCCACAGUGAAACAUCUCAGAGCUCCUCAAUACAAAAACCUCCUCACAGCCCUUCUGCACCUGCAACCAAACCAGGAUGUGGUCUCUGA